UCUGUGAUGAUAAAAGUGAAUAAAGAUGAGAUUUUAUUGAUCCAGUGGUGAAAGUCACAAGCUAGCUGCCAAGUCAAACUUCCGCUGUUAUUUUGGUAAAAGUAAAUCAAAAGCAAUGCAAAAGUAGUUCAACGCAUUACAAUUCAGAGACAUUAAUAGUGUAAAAUAACUAAUUAUUCUCAAAUGACAGUAA